rnacentral:rRNA from 1 species
GUGGGGAAUAUUGGACAAUGGGCGCAAGCCUGAUCCAGCAAUGCCGCGUGGGUGAAGAAGGUCUUCGGAUCGUAAAGCCCUUUCGACAGGGACGAUGAUGACGGUACCUGUAGAAGAAGCCCCGGCUAACUUCGUGCCAGCAGCCGCGGUAAUACGAAGGGGGCUAGCGUUACUCGGAAUUACUGGGCGUAAAGGGCGCGUAGGCGGCUUUGUUAGUCAGGCGUGAAAUUCCUGGGCUUAACCUGGGGACUGCGCUUGAUACUGCAGGGCUUGAGGCCGAGAGAGGGUGGUGGAAUUCCCAGUGUAGAGGUGAAAUUCGUAGAUAUUGGGAAGAACACCGGUGGCGAAGGCGACCACCUGGCUCGGUUCUGACGCUGAGGCGCGACAGCGUGGGGAGCAAACAGGAUUAGAAACCCUUGUAGUCC